rnacentral:lncRNA from 1 species
GGAAGGAACCAAUGAACAGCUUAUUUGGGGACUGAAUUCUAUAUGGCACUUCCUCUUUCUUCCACUGAGUUGAACUGUUACUAAUGGAGUCAGUCAGUCAUGACUAAAAGGAAGAAAGGAAAGAACAGAGGAAGGGAACAAGAGAGGAAGAGAGAGACAGGAAAAAAGGAAGAAGGAAGGAAGAAAGGAAGGAAAGAUCAGAGAGAAAUGACAGAAAUGACAGAAGGAAGAUAUCAAGUAUUUUUAUUAAAAAUAAAAAUGUCCUUGAUCAAAACCU